CUUCAAACGCGCCCACGGAAUCGACCAGACAAAUCUCCCCAUCCACAUCCUCUCCCACCUCAUCAAAUCUGACCUCAUCGCUGCCUCCAAGGAGCUCCUGCACCAAAACCACUGCAUUGAAAUGUUUGGCUAAAUUCACUACGUGCUUAUAGUAAUCUUUUAAUUAAUAUUUAAAGAAUUUGUUAUGUUUGAUUUCCUUUCAAUCUAUAGUUUUCAAAGAUCAUUAUUGGUACAGAUUAAACAUGAUAGCGCAGCAAGAGAAGGAAGGAAGGUCAAAAUUGAAGGAAAAAAUUUGGAUAGAACAAUUAAGGAGUGUAUGGAUAAUAAGAAUCAAAAUUUGUGGAAAUUUAUAGAAGGAAACUGUCCUUUAAUUUAGAUAAGACCAGCGAGAACACAGAUCCCAAACCUCAUACUUUGAGAGAGAGAGAAGAUAGAUCUAAAUUGUUGAUUUUCUAAUGCAAUUGAACGUAUUUCUUAACUAUUAAUCUAAAAUUUGAAACUUCAGCGUAUUUUUCAACUUUUUGGGAAAAAAGAAUUAAAGAGCCUAAUUUCCCCCAUUUGUUUUUGGGGAGAUAGCAAUUGGGCUUGGGCUUGGGCUUGAAUUCCAUAGUCGGCCUGAUACACCCAUAUAAAUUCGACCGCCCACGGUUCAGCACGUGAAAGUUGUAGAAGCUGCCGAUAGAUGAGAAAUAGGAUUAGGGUUAAGAGCUAGGGAUUUGAUUUAAGCUCUCUCGGUUUAAAUUUAAUAGUUGAAAAUGAUAUACGACGUGAAUUCUCCACUAUUCCGAUCCUUCCUCAGCCAGAAGGGCGGCUCCUCUGAUAAAAGGUUUUUACUGUUUUCUAUCGUAAUUGAAUUUUUUAUUUUUACUUCGUUUCUUGUUUUUUAAUAAUUUUAUUUCUAUUUAUGGGGGUCUGUUUGGAGAUUAUAUGCUAUACUAGUGGCUGCAUAAUGUUGAUGUGUGAUUUAGUUUUCUUCUUAGCUAGAAUAUCUCCUAAUCCCAUACACUGGGUUAAUCUGGUUCGUAAAAGGAAUUACAUUUAUUAGCUAGAGAGAGUUUGUUGAGUUAAUUGUCACAGCUUAAGCUCAAAUCAAAGCUUCACUGCAGCUCCAACUCAGAAAUGAGCCCAGCUGAUUUUAACUGCAACUCAACCAAAUUAAGAAGAAAAUAGAAUAUGGGGUGGGAGAAAUUAGAAAAUAAAAAGAACAAGAUAAGGAUAACUGUUGAAUCUUUUAACAAAUCCUUACUGAAAUAUCAUAUGAAAACUGAAAUGCAACCCUCCCCAUUUCUGUAUCGAUGUGUUUCUACAAAAUUGUGUUUUUAACUCCAGCAAUAAACCAAAAAGGUUCAACUAAGUUCGGAAGGUUGGAAUUCAAUUGGUUGCAAUAUUUUUUGGGAAAGAUAACCUUUAUUAGGAGUUUUUUCAUGUCAUUUAUUUUUGAAGUGUUUGAGGAAGUUAUAAAAGGGCCUUAAGUUUAGCCCUAAUCUUUCAAUUAUUGUUCCAAUCGUGAAACGUCUAUCAAAAUGAUUAACAACGUGUUGAAAGUAUGUUUUCUUUCACUAGGUUCAUGUAUAUGGACUUAUAUGUUUACUGAUUUUGCUUGUAAGGUUUAAGCAACUCUGCAGUGUGUGGUUUCUGUAUUUGGUUGUUAAGAGGAGUUGCAUGUCCCAUUUUGUAGCUAUGAGAUAUGGUGAUUUAGUUGUAAAAUAUGAUCUUUUCAUUAUAUUCUUGAUAUGGCUCCUAUGAUUUUUGUUUGGCUUUGUAAAGUAAUGUAUCAUCAGGAAGGAAAAAUUGGCAGUUUUCUACUAGAUUCAGUGAUAUGAUCUCACAUCCCGUUGUUCGGAACUUAUUUUGUCAAUUAAUUUCCUUAUUCCACAUGUGGCUAAUGAGUGAAUUUAGGGUGCGUUUGAUUAUAAACAUGAAAUUUGUGUGGAAAAAAAUAAAUUCUAGUAAUUCAAUUUUCUAGAACUUAACUGCAUGAAAAUUGUCGAUUAAAUGUGUUUGAUUGAUUUAACUUUCAACAUAGAAAAUAUUAUAUUUGUCCAUUUCUUAUUAGUGGGUAGAUGAGAGAGAGUGAAUUUCCUAGAAAAUAAAAUCUUACUCCCUCUGAAAAAAAUAUUUUCCUUGAUUUUGAGGAAAAUAUGUCACGUGACCAAAUGUAGGAAAAUGUAUUCCAUGGGAAAAAAUGACAAUCAAACAGCACAGAAGUAAGGAAUUUGAGUGAAAAAACACAUUUUCUAUGGAAAAUAUUGGUAAUCAAACACACCCUUAGAGUAUAUGAAAAAAUUUACAGAAUAUGAAAACAGAUCUUAAAAUGUGUGUUUUGUGUCUUACCUUUUUCCUGUUUCUUGACUCCCCUUUGAAUGGUUGAGAGCACUCAUAUUUUCUCAUGAGAUAUAGUGCCUUCUUUUGUUCUAUAAAGUUUAUUUGAGAAGGAAGAAAGGUUUCUUGAUGCAACUUAACACUGUAAUUGUUUUCCUGACAUGCUUUUUUUAUUUGCUUGUGAAUCCAGGAAAACUGAAGAGCAGAAACCAAGGGAACAGAAGCCCAAAGCAAAUGAAAAUAAACCUGUUAUGACGGAAUGAUGGCUACAUGAUGUGAGCUUUAAUUUGGGUGUGAUUUCUAGAAUGCAUUCAAUAAUGUCGCUAGGAUACUACUAGAAUUGUUGUGUCAAUGCUGUGGCUGGAACCUUGAAUUUGUCGAAUUUAUCGGGUUACAAGAUUUCUUGCAAACUGUUUGAAUUCAAAUAUCAUGAAUGAACUGAUGUAUUAGUCUUCAAAUAUAUGUUAUUGUUUGUUCUUAUUGAUAAUAGAAAUUAGAAACAUUAAAGUUCAUUUCACUUCAAACUGCAUUAAUCGAAUUUGCCAAUGGUAGGUAAAAUGUGAAAAAAGAUAUGACUUUACCGAAAGGUGGGUGGGGUGGAAAGCUAUAAUUUCAUUUAAAAAUUUUCAUAUUUGGUUUAAUUUUUUAAUUAUUCUAUUGGGGAAUACAAAAAUAUAAUUUUGCCCUUUGAAAUUUGGUCGAAAUU
rnacentral:lncRNA from 1 species